CAUGGCCUUUAUGUCUAGGGCUACACACGUGCUACAAUGGGUGGUACAAAGAGCAGCUAACUCGCGAGAGUAUGCAAAUCUCAAAAAGCCAUCCUCAGUUCGGAUUGGAGUCUGCAACUCGACUCCAUGAAGUUGGAAUCGCUAGUAAUCGCGGAUCAGCAUGCCGCGGUCGAAUACGUUCCGGGCCUU
rnacentral:rRNA from 1 species